CCGCCGGGACCCCCGGGGAGGACCCGUCCUGCCGGGGAGCAGGAGAAGCGGGGGGACAGGUCUGUCGCCCCCAGACUGUCGCCCCGACCACGCGCCGUCCCCGACUACGUGGUGAGGUACCCGGCGAUCCUGAGCCCCCGGCAGCAGGAGGGCUACAAGGGCGUCUUCCAGGACCAGCUGGCGGAAUACGUGGAUCUGCACCGGGAGCUCCGUGCCACAUGUCACCCCCCGGGCAGGACGGAUUCAGCCUGGCUGGAGAAGCAGCGGCGCUGUGAGUACCUGAAGAAGAAGCUGACGCACCUCAAGGCGCGGAUCCAGGAGUACAAUCGUGUCACCCACCCCAGCGCCGGUGGCUCCUGAGCCUGUGCCCGGGCCGGGGGACCCUCCCCCGCCCGAGGCACCCCAGGGGAUGGGGAGGGGGUGGCGCUGCCGCGGGGAUCACCCGGUACCCACCAGGGAUCACCCGGUACCCACCGACCCAUCGCACCCACGCGGGAACGGGGAGCAAACCCACCGGCUCCUCAUUCUGGAGGUCCUCGUGGAGCCUCGUGGCCCCGGGACCCCCGAGCGCUGGGUGGGUCCUGCCUGUCCCCAGGCCCCGGCUGUGCCCCCAUCUUAUCCCUGGGAAUCGGGGAACCCCUCACCCCCCUCCCCGGACAGGGGGUGCAGCUGCUGAAGUGGCUUUAAUUCAGUAACCGGGUUUAAG